rnacentral:rRNA from 1 species
UACGUAGGUGGCAAGCGUUGUCCGGAAUUAUUGGGCGUAAAGCGCGCGCAGGCGGCUUCUUAAGUCUGAUGUGAAAGCCCACGGCUCAACCGUGGAGGGUCAUUGGAAGCUGGGGAGCUUGAGUACAGAAGAGGAGAGUGGAAUUCCAUGUGUAGCGGUGAAAUGCGUAGAUAUAUGGAGGAAUACCAGUGGCGAAGGCGGCUCUCUGGUCUGUAACUGACGCUGAGGCGCGAAAGCGUGGGGAGCAAACAGG